UACGGAGGGUGCAAGCGUUAUCCGGAUUCACUGGGUUUAAAGGGUGCGUAGGUGGGCAAGUAAGUCAGUGGUGAAAUCUCCGGGCUUAACCCGGAAACUGCCAUUGAUACUAUUUGUCUUGAAUACUGUGGAGGUCAGCGGAAUAUGUCAUGUAGCGGUGAAAUGCUUAGAUAUGACAUAGAACACCAAUUGCGAAGGCAGCUGGCUACACAAAUAUUGACACUGAGGCACGAAAGCGUGGGGAUCAAACA
rnacentral:rRNA from 1 species